rnacentral:rRNA from 1 species
AGAGUUUGAUCAUGGCUCAGAUUGAACGCUGGCGGCAGGCUUAACACAUGCAAGUCGAGCGGGGAAGGGUAGCUUGCUACCUGACCUAGCGGCGGACGGGUGAGUAAUGCUUAGGAAUCUGCCUAUUAGUGGGGGACAACAUUCCGAAAGGAAUGCUAAUACCGCAUACGCCCUACGGGGGAAAGCAGGGGAUCUUCGGACCUUGCGCUAAUAGAUGAGCCUAAGUCAGAUUAGCUAGUUGGUGGGGUAAAGGCCUACCAAGGCGACGAUCUGUAGCGGGUCUGAGAGGAUGAUCCGCCACACUGGGACUGAGACACGGCCCAGACUCCUACGGGAGGCAGCAGUGGGGAAUAUUGGACAAUGGGCGCAAGCCUGAUCCAGCCAUGCCGCGUGUGUGAAGAAGGCCUUUUGGUUGUAAAGCACUUUAAGCGAGGAGGAGGCUACCGAGAUUAAUACUCUUGGAUAGUGGACGUUACUCGCAGAAUAAGCACCGGCUAACUCUGUGCCAGCAGCCGCGGUAAUACAGAGGGUGCGAGCGUUAAUCGGAUUUACUGGGCGUAAAGCGUGCGUAGGCGGCUUUUUAAGUCGGAUGUGAAAUCCCUGAGCUUAACUUAGGAAUUGCAUUCGAUACUGGGAAGCUAGAGUAUGGGAGAGGAUGGUAGAAUUCCAGGUGUAGCGGUGAAAUGCGUAGAGAUCUGGAGGAAUACCGAUGGCGAAGGCAGCCAUCUGGCCUAAUACUGACGCUGAGGUACGAAAGCAUGGGGAGCAAACAGGAUUAGAUACCCUGGUAGU